rnacentral:rRNA from 1 species
AUUGAACGCUGGCGGCAUGCCUUCCACAUGCAAGUCGAACGGUAGCGGGCCUUCGGGUGCCGACGAGUGGCGAACGGGUGAGUAAUGUAUCGGAACGUACCAUUCAGUGGGGGAUAACGUAGCGAAAGUUACGCUAAUACCGCAUAUUCUGUGAGCAGGAAAGCAGGGGAUCGCAAGACCUUGCGCUGAUUGAGCGGCCGAUAUCAGAUUAGCUAGUUGGUGAGGUAAAGGCUCACCAAGGCGACGAGCUGUAGCGGGUCUGAGAGGAUGAUCCGCCACACUGGAACUGAGACACGGUCCAGACUCCUACGGGAGGCAGCAGUGGGGAAUUUUGGACAAUGGGGGCAACCCUGAUCCAGCCAUGCCGCGUGAGUGAAGAAGGCCUUCGGGUUGUAAAGCUCUUUCGGCCGGGAAGAAAUCGUAUCAGCUAAUACCUGGUGCGGAUGACGGUACCGGCAUAAGAAGCACCGGCUAACUACGUGCCAGCAGCCGCCGUAAGAC